AUUGAACGCUGGCGGCAGGCCUAACACAUGCAAGUCGAACGAGUGGCGGACGGGUGAGUAAUGUCUGGGAAACUGCCUGAUGGAGGGGGAUCACUACUGGAAACGGUAGCUAAUACCGCAUACCAUCGGAUGUGCCUAGAUGGGAUUAGCUAGUAGGUGGGGUAAAGGCUCACCUAGGCGACGAUCCCUAGCUGGUCUGAGAGGAUGACCAGCAACACUGGAACUGAGCCACGGUCCAGACGCCUACGGGAGGCAGCAGUGGGGAAUAUUGCACAAUGGGCGCAAGCCUGAUGCAGCCAUGCCGCGUGUAUGAAUAAGGCCUUCGGGUUGUAAAGUACUUUCAGCGGGGAGGCGUUACCCGCAGAAGAAGCACCGGCUAACUCCGUGCCAGCAGCCGCGGUAAUUC
rnacentral:rRNA from 1 species